rnacentral:rRNA from 1 species
UACGGAGGAGGCUAGCGUUGUUCGGAAUUACUGGGCGUAAAGCGCGCGUAGGCGGCUUUGUAAGUUAGAAGGUGAAAGCCCGGGGCUCAACUCCGGAACUGACCUUUAAGGACUGCAUCGCUUGGAAUCCGGGAGAGGUGAGUGGAAUUCCGAAGUGUAGAGGUGAAAUUCGUAGAUAUUCGGAAGAACACCAGUAGGGCGAA